CAGCCGCCGCGGUAAUACGUAGGUGGCAAGCGUUGUCCGGAAUUAUUGGGCGUAAAGGGCUCGCAGGCGGUUUCUUAAGUCUGAUGUGAAAGCCCCCGACUCAACCGGGGAGGGUCAUUGGAAACUGGGAAACUUGAGUGCAGAAGAGGAGAGUGGAAUUCCACGUGUAGCGGUGAAAUGCGUAGAGAUGUGGAGGAACACCAGUGGCGAAGGCGACUCUCUGGUCUGUAACUGAUGCUGAGGAGCGAAAGCGUGGGGAGCGAACAGGAUUAGAUACCCCCGUAGUCCCUGUCUCUUAUAA
rnacentral:rRNA from 1 species